UGAGCAGACGUACAAAUUGGAUAAGAUAACAUAUUGUUUCCUUUGGGCAUAUGGUAUCCACGUGCCAGUUAUUUUGAUCACACCUUAACCAAAGACAUCCGCUGCCAAAGCCAGUUAAUUUGCCAAUUGAACUUCGUUCUCAUGUUUGCUGGAAUCGUUACGAUUGCUGCCUUUCACGGCUAAAUAGGGUCUGGCUACGCCGCCUAGUUGUGUAUUGAGUAAAUCAAAAGUCAAUAUUAGCUGCUCAAAAAGUUACAUAACUUCAUCCAAAGGUCACGAGUUGUCCGAUCUCCAGUAGAAUAGGAGUACAUAAGCCUGCAAACAUCGUCGUCAAAAAAGGCUGGACUUUACGGCCAGUGUCUAAGACAAAACAUAACGGCACAUCUCUACCCUACCCCUCACCCCUGCUCCGCCUACCGUCGCGGUACAGUUGUGCUAGUGGACAAAUAUAGCACCCCCAGCUUCAACGAGGGGUAGUGGUACGAACCGCCGACAUCUGACGAACUACAUAAUCCCGGCCUAGACCAGCUUUCCGGCA